CGGCAUGCCUUACACAUGCAAGUCGAACGGCAGCACGGGAGCAAUCCUGGUGGCGAGUGGCGAACGGGUGAGUAAUAUAUCGGAACGUGCCCGGUCGUGGGGGAUAACGUAGCGAAAGCUACGCUAAUACCGCAUACGAUCUACGGAUGAAAGCGGGGGAUCGCAAGACCUCGCGCGAUUGGAGCGGCCGAUAUCAGAUUAGGUAGUUGGUGAGGUAAAGGCUCACCAAGCCGACGAUCUGUAGCUGGUCUGAGAGGACGACCAGCCACACUGGGACUGAGACACGGCCCCAGACUCCUACGGGAGGCAGCAGUGGGGAAUUUUGGACAAUGGGCGCAAGCCUGAUCCAGCAAUGCCGCGUGCAGGAUGAAGGCCUUCGGGUUGUAAACUGCUUUGUACGGAACGAAACGGUGAGCUCUAAUACAGUUUGCUAAUGACGGUACCGUAAGAAUAAGCACCGGCUAACUACGUG
rnacentral:rRNA from 1 species